UCUGCUUCUAGAACCUUAGACUACAACACACAAAAAACCUAGCUGAACUUUAAGAACACCAGGGGCGCCCAUCUUCUUCUUCGAGAGGCUAGCUGAACCAUAGUGAGAGAGACCCAAAAAGACUCCAAGCCAUCAGCAGCCUGAACACGACCAAACUCACCGGAAAAGAGAUCAGUGCCCAUAUCCUCCUCUCAUCAAGCAAACGACCACCCAUCGUUGUCUCUCCGUCAACCAGCCUCCCGCGCAGCAGCAAGUCCGGCGACAAACCAACAGCUUUCCAUCUCUGGCCCUUCCAAAAACUACCGAAGAACAACCAGGUCAACAUCGACCAGCGACCCUGCCACCAGCAGCAGCAGCCUCUGCUGCCAACCAGCAGCAUCCGCUAGCUGCGAAAGAAAAAUGAAAAAACUUAAGAGGGUUUGUUGUUAGUGUUCAUUCUUGAAUUCAUAGAAGAACAAGUUUCGUCAUGAUCUAGAAAGAAGAUAAUGUAUAUCAUCCUUUUAAGAAUUACAAAUAGCUUGAGUCUCCUAAUAUCUGAUAACAAAGUGAGAACGAGAGGAUGAGUUUGGACUAGAGUGUCCCAGUUAUCCCUAGCCUCACGAAGGCAUUCUCAGUUUUGAGCUUGGGGGCGUCCGUAUGAGGUUUCCGGUCCAGGUUCAUAGGCUUGAAGCAACCACUGAUGUGCACUUGAUUUGGAGUUUUACUAUUCAAUAUAAAAGAGGGACUCAUCUAAGGUAUGGAGCAAUUUGCUAAAGUUUGAACAUGACAAAAUACCCCAGGACCAUUUUAGUCAAGACCAUUGCAUGCUCGAGCUGCUUGAGGAAACUUUUAUGUUUUGAGUCUGUCGUUUAUGUAGUCUUUUAAUUAUUAGUCCUGUAUAGUAGUAUCGAGUCUGUUAGUCUAGUUAAGAUUGUCGAGUCUUUCAUUAUCGUACUAUCUGUUUCGUAUUUGAAAAACCAAUAAAUGAAAAUCCAAAAAGAUUUUUAUUUUUA